UUUAUUAUUUUCGAGGGUGUGUCUUGUUUUGUGGGUUUUCAUUGGUUUGGCGUUUGUUACCCUCAAUCUUGGUCAGAAGACAACUUCCCGUCGGACAAUUUUAAAGAAGCAAAAUAUAUGAUGUUACAUUUGAAACUGUUCUCAAGACCACAUGUACAAGGUAGAUAUUUACUCUUCAUAUUUCCCGAGAUCAUUAUAAUGGUUGUAUGAAUAAGAAUUUUGUUAGUUGAAAAUCCAAACAAUGAUAUAUAUAUAUGAUUGUUACGUCAGAAAAUAAUACAAACAUGGAGUAUCGAAACAAGAUACAGAUAUAUGUUAAUAUUUAUUACACUUAUUUUUGACAACAUACUACCUCCUCUUUAAAGUUAUCAUUUACCGAGUUUGUAAUAACAUGAGAAACACGACGAGUGCCACAUUUGGAGCAGGAUCUGAUUACCCUUCCGAAACACCCGAGAUCACCCUCAGUUUUUAGGGGUUCGUGUUGCCUAGGCUUCCGUUUUCUAUUUUUUGUCUUGUGUUCUGUUGUUUGUCUGUUUAUCUUUAUACAUUUUAGCCAUGGCGUUGUCAGUUUAUUUUCGAUCGUUGAGUCUGGUAUCUUUCAUCCCAAUGUUUCUGUAUCUGACCUCUUUUUUGGUCAGAUACAGAAAAUUAUCUGACGUUGAAUUUUUGAUGAAGUUAUGACUUAGAUAUAAAAUGAAAUAAAUAAAUGUGCCCUCGUGGCUCGAAAUGAUAUUUUGGUAUGUAAUUUCAAAUGUUAAAAAAAAAACGCAAAAUUUCAAAUUACAAUGCUUUCCGAAAAGUCAGAGAUCAAGGCCAAAGUCACCAGUAGAGACCAUCUUCGAGAUUUAAACGUCCUGUGUAUUCACUUAUUCUAUUGAUCAGAAUUUACAAUUUUUAAUAUUUAAGCUAGAAAUUCCACCACAAAUGUAAAGUUAAGGAUGUACGUAGGUCAGGUCAAGGACAUUUGUAAGAUGUUCGGACUACGUUUUUUUCCUACGAUACAGUGUAAAUAUUUUGACUCAUAACAUCCAUUUUUGUCGAGUCUGUGUUUCCGUAUAUUUCUUAUAAAUGGAUUUAAUUUUUCUGUUAAUUAACAUUACAUUCACUCUGUGGUUUAAGUUUAAAAAAACUUAAUAACUUUCUCCAACUAUCCUGGAUUUCUACCAAACUUGGACAGAAGCUUGUUUAUGAUUAACAGCUACUAUCUAGAAAGAAAUUUUGUAGAAAUAUAUUUCCUGUUUUUCCGUUCAUGACAUAUAAAUGGACUUAGUCUGCAAUUAAAGAUUUUAAAACAUUUUUAGAUUAACAAACCAUCCUGGAAUUUUACCUAACUUGGACAGAAGUUUCUUUCUAUCAAAAAAUAGUACAAUGUAUCUAGAGGAACAUUUUAAUAUUUUUUCCCCAUUUGUGUUGAGCCUGCGACUUUUCUUUAAUUUCACUAACUGUAAGUAUAUCAUGUGCAUUCUUCUGUCACUCUGAAAACAUAGACAACAGCAAAAGUUGGCGAGACACCAGGUUCCGCGGAACCCUUACCAAUUUUCUUUUCAUAUAAGACUUCAAUAACUCAUCGAAGGUCAUUUACUAAAAUAUAACCAGAUUCUAAUAGUUUACAUUUACAAAGUGUGACUUGGAUGGAGAGCUGUCUCAUUGGCACUCAUACUACAUUUUCUUUUAUCUAUCUAGAUGUCUUUUCUUUCGAUUUAAGACCCAAAUAAUAAUACCAGACACAAGUUGUUUCGUUUUUCCUUUUUCCUUUUUCGAUAUUCAAAUAAUAAUUAUGCAAAUAUAAGGUGAAAGUCCGAGUCAGCCUUUUUCCGUCCUAAAAAAAAAAAUCGAAAAGGAGCUCCACACCAUAUCACUAUUUUUAGGUUAUUUUGUUACCUAACUAACGCUCUUCCGACUUGUUGUAUCAUUUUUGAAUUCUAUUUCCUUUUAAGUUCACACAACGAACACCUUUAAGCAACGACAGAAAAAAAAAAAAUGGAACCGCCCAUGUCUUUACGUCAAUAUUCUUUUUUCAGCUAUCAACCACACGGACAGGGACAAAGACAAGGAAAACAGCAUUUUAGAAUCUAAAGCAGAAGGACA
rnacentral:lncRNA from 1 species